GAAAACUGGAAGAACUCGAAACUUUAAACUGCAACUGCAGGUGUAAAUGCAAAACGGAAAGCCUCGUCACGCCAUGCAAUACGGCAAGCAUAGCGACAUUUACAUAACCAACAACUAUCAGCUAGCCAACCGCAAGCUGUCCGUGAAGCUCUUGCAGUGUUAUAUGCAUGCAUAUACAGUUGAGGAGCGAUAGAGAAUUGAAGAUGGAAAGCUUAGCGUCGAAGAGAUGCAACUGCUUCUACGAGGGGAAUCAUCUACUGGUGAUAGUUGCUGGCAUCGAAGAGCGUCAAACUGGUUGUAAUAAGUCAAAGUAUCUGCAGGUAAAAUUGCAUAACUGCAUUUCAAGGGUUAACUAGUGGCUUUUAUGGAAGUUGCCAAUGAAAGGAAAUAUGCAUGCUCGACGUGUAUUUUAUCGUCAUGAAAAUGCAAGGUUUGAAUUUACAUAUUAUACUGCGAGAUAAAUAAUUUAUGGUACAAGUGAAGUGAUAUUAGUAACGGGAAAUGUUUUUCUAAGCUUCCGUGUAGAUCAUAGUACAUUUGAAUAAUAA